rnacentral:misc_RNA from 1 species
AAAAAGUUGAACUUGCUUUCAUUUGGAGAAGAAGCAGAAGAGGAGGAGAAAGAGCUUGUAGCUGUGAGUUCAAGGAUAAGAAGCAGUCACGAUGUCUUGGAUGAUCCACGUCUGCUAAAGGAUGGAAAGCAUGAUCAAGCUUUGGACUCAUCUGAAGGAAAAUCAACAAGGGAUGUGCAGUUGACCAUCAGAGAAGCUUUGGGAUCAAAGAAGGAAGCGUCUCGUAAAGAAUCUGAAGCAGGUUUUCAAGAAUCCCUUGACAACAGUGAUGAAGAUGAGGCUGGCUUUGAUGCACGAAUGCGUCAGCAGAUACUAAAAAGGAGGAAAGAACUUGGCGAUCCGACACCCAAACAGAAGUUGCUCAGUGAGAACAGGAAUGCAAGAAAUCGUUCACCAUCUCCUUCAAGGUCUGAUGCUAAACAUGAUGAUGACCAGCCAAAAGUGGAUAAGUUGUCUCUAAAGAGAAAAGGUAUAGGCUCUGAAGCAAGAGCUGAACGUAUGGCCAAUGCAAAUACAGACUUACAGUUGUUGUCUGGCCCUGAACGAGAAAGACAGCUGCUAAAGCAAAAGAAACGAGGACGAAAAGGACACGAAGAAGACAUGCUAGCAAAAUUGGAGAAAUUUAAGGCUGGACUGUCUGCUAAAGCCAAUGAAUCUGCUAAUGCUGUCAAGGAGGAAGAAUUAUCUGAUUGGGCAGCAGUUACAUUAAAAUUCACUCCUGAACCUGGAAAGGACAAAAUGUCUCGUAGUGAGGACCCCAAUGAUUACGUGGUACACGAUCCUUUGUUGGAGAAAGGGAAAGAGAAGUUCAAUAAAAUGAUGGCAAAGCAAAAGCGACGAGAAAGAGAAUGGGCUGGCAAAUCUCUUACUUGA